rnacentral:rRNA from 1 species
GACGAACGCUGGCGGCGUGCUUAACACAUGCAAGUCGAACGCUGAAGCUCAGCUUGCUGGGUGGGUGAGUGGCGAACGGGUGAGUAACACGUGAGUAACCUGCCCUCUUCUUUGGGAUAACGCCCGGAAACGGGUGCUAAUACUGGAUAUUCACUGAUUCUCUCCUGGGGGUUGGUGGAAAGGUUUUUGCUGGUGGGGGAUGGGCUCGCGGCCUAUCAGCUUGUUGGUGGGGUGAUGGCCUACCAAGGCUUUGACGGGUGGCCGGCCGGAGAGGGUGACCGGUCACGGUGGGGCUGAGAUACGGCCCAGACUCCUACGGGAGGCAGCAGUGGGGAACAUCGCACAAGGGGCGAACGCCUGAUGCAGCGACGUCGCGUGAGGGAUGGAGGCCUUCGGGGUGUAAACCUCUUUCGCACAUGGUCAAGCCGCAGCUUUGGGUUGUGGUGAGGGUAGUGGGUAAAGAAGCGCCGGCUAACUACGUG